rnacentral:rRNA from 1 species
CCUACGGGGAGCAGCAGUGGGGAAUAUUGGGCAAUGGAGGCGACUCUGACCCAGCAACGCCGCGUGCAUGAUGAAGGUCUUCGGAUUGGAAAGUUCUGUGAUGGGGGAUGAACAAAAUGACGGUACCCCAAUCGCAAGCCACGGCUAAGUACCGGCCAGCAGCCGGGGGAAUACGUAGGGUGCAGGCGUUAUGCGGAAUGACGGGGCGGAAAGGGGGCGUAGGGGUUUAGGUAGGUUGGCUGUGAAUUUCCGGGGCUCAACCUCGGCCCUACCGCCAAAACUAGAAGACUAGAGUGCAGGGGAGGUAAGCGGAAUUCCUAGUGUAGCGGUGGAAUGCGUAGAUAUUAGGAGGAACAUCAGGGGCGAAGGCGACUUACUGGACUGUAACUGACGCUGAGGCACGAAAGCGUGGGGAGCAAACAGGAUUAGAUACCCCAGUAGUC